rnacentral:lncRNA from 1 species
GUUUUAAUGGCAGGCCACUUUCAGGGAUCUGUGCCAGACCAUGAGGCUGUCUCAUUGCACAUUUGUUUGGAGUACUGAACAGCUGCAUCUGUUUGAAAGAGUGCCGAAGCAGACCUUGCAUUGGGACCAUUACUUGCUAUGAAGGUAAAGAAACUGGGGCAUGAGUCUUAGUGGAGUGACUGGAAGUGAAGCUGCUGCUUAGAAGGAACUACUGAGACAGUGUCAGUUCUGAUUGUGGAUAAUUAUGGAGCCAGCACAGACAUUCAAGGAUAAUUCAACAAUGGCCUGAGCAAAAUAUAAGCAGAGAAGUUCCUUUUCAUUUGUGUUGGCUGCAUUUUGUCAUCAUUGGAGAAGAUACAAAAAUGGUAAAGAAGAUACAAAAAUGCUGUCCCUUUUUUCUAUUACACACCGUGGAAGCAGAAGUGUCAAGGAAUGACUACCUCAAACUGUAGUGAGAAUCUCUGUGAGGCUUUUGUUACCAUUGGGAAUCUUGUAUUAAAAGAAAAAAGUUUGGUAAGUUAAGAAUUCACCUUUCUAAUACCAGCCCAGACUUUUGGCUGGUUGGGAAAUUGCUGGACUAUGUCUG